rnacentral:sRNA from 1 species
AUAUAUUAAAUGAAACAAAAUAGUAAAUAAAAUACCAAGCUGAAUAAGUAAAUAAUUGGUGUUGUUCACCAACCAAAUAUUUUAAAAAAGAGAUUAAACUUGUUACAAACUAUAUCCACGUCAUAUGGUGGUUUGGAUAUGAAUAUUCCAUUUGGUACUACAACAGGAAGGCAAUGAAGUAAAACCACAAGCUGAAUGGAGACUCUGACAGCAUAUCGAGAGCAUAGGCCAAGGUCUGGUUGCAGUAAAUGUAUCAUCAAUAAAAAGUUUAUUUUCAGAAUCAACUACUGGCAGUGAAGAGAUGAAAUCUACCAAUAUUUCGUUUAGGAUUUCCAAUCAUGUUUGAUCCACAAGAUGUGUUUGAAUCUGUCAUGGAUUUAUUAUGUUUUUUUUUUUAACGAUUGAAAUUUUACAUAAUAAUUUGCAAUAAUUUAUAUGUAGUUUUCAUUCCAUAUAACCUAUAUUCUAUUAUCAAUCUUAAUACAAUAUAUAUAUUUCCUUUAUGGAUAUUAAGUAAGAUACCUUUAAAAAUUACUUUUUGUGUUUCCAAGCUGGUAAACCGAAGCACAGUAUAAAUAAAAAAAUGUUUGAGUAUUAAAACAA